UUUCAUCAUGAUGAAAUUAGUCAAAUAGAGCUAAGCACUAUGUAUUGGAUAAUGACCGGCCAACAUAAUUAUUUUAGAUACUUAAUCAGGCAAUAUAUGCAGGACAUAAUAGCUAAAGACACAAUGUUACCAUAUGGGGGGUUAGUCACUCGAUUAAUACUUGCCCAUAAUAUUUGUGUCUCACCCGAUGAAGAAAUAAUUCAAUUUGA
rnacentral:lncRNA from 1 species